GAGUUUUGCAGAGAUGUGAAGACACUAGUCUCGUCCUGAAUUGGGAAAAGUGUCACUUUAUGGUUAAUGAAGGCAUUGUCUUGGGGCACAAGAUCUCCGAGAGAGGUAUUGAAGUUGAUAAAGCCAAAGUUGAUGCUAUUGAAAAGAUGCCAUGUCCCAAGGACAUAAAAGGUAUAAGAAGUUUCCUUGGUCACGCCGGUUUUUAUAGGAGGUUCAUUAAGGACUUUUCUAAAAUCUCUAGGCCUCUGACUAAUUUAUUGCAAAAAGAUAUUCCUUUUGUCUUUGAUGAUGAUUGA
rnacentral:rRNA from 1 species